rnacentral:rRNA from 1 species
UUUCGGCGUAAAGAGUGGUUAAACUGAUUUUUAACUAAAGCCGAACUCCCUCAGAACUGUUAUACGUACCCGAGGGUAAGAAGCCCCCUUACGAAAGUAGCUUUAAUACUUUUGACCCCACGAAAGCUGCGAAACAAACUGGGAUUAGAUACCCCACUAUGCCCAGCCGUAAACAUUGAUAGCCCCCGUACAAAAGCUAUUCGCCUGGGUACUACGAGCACCAGCUUAGAACCCAAAGGACUUGGCGGUGCUUAAGACCCCCCUAGAGGAGCCUGUUCUAGAACCGAUAACCCCCGUUCAACCUCACCCUUCCCUGGCCAACCCGUCUAUAUACCGCCGUCGUCAGCUUACCCCCUGAGGGUCCUACAGUAAGCAAAAUUGGUU